rnacentral:rRNA from 1 species
AUUGAACGCUGGCGGCAGGCCUAACACAUGCAAGUCGAGCGGUUGAGGUAGCUUGCUACCGAUGCAGCGGCGAACGGGUGAGUAAUACAUGGGAAUCUGCCUGGUAGUGGGGGACAACGUCUCGAAAGGGACGCUAAUACCGCAUACGCCUACGGGGAAAGGGGGGAGUCUUCGGACCUCUCGCUAUCAGAUGAGCCCAUGUCAGAUUAGCUAGUUGGUGGGUAAAGGCUCACCAAGGCGACGAUCUGUAACUGGUCUGAGAGGAUGAUCAGUCACACUGGAACUGAGACACGGUCCAGACUCCUACGGGAGGCAGCAGUGGGGAAUAUUGGACAAUGGGCGCAAGCCUGAUCCAGCCAUGCCGCGUGUGUGAAGAAGGCC